rnacentral:rRNA from 1 species
CCUACGGGUGGCAGCAGUGAGGAAUAUUGGUCAAUGGCCGAGAGGCUGAACCAGCCAAGUCGCGUGAGGGAAGACGGCCCUACGGGUUGUAAACCUCUUUUGUCGGGGAGCAAAGCGAGUCACGUGUGACUCAUUGAGAGUACCCGAAGAAAAAGCAUCGGCAAACUCCGUGCCUGCAGCCGCGGUAAUACGGAGGAUGCGAGCGUUAUCCGGAUUUAUUGGUUUUAAGGGGUGCGAAGGCGGAGGUGCAAGUCAGCGGUCAAAUUGCGGGGCUCAACCCCGUACUGCCGUUGAAACUGCAUGCCUUGAGUGCGCGAGAAGUAUGCGGAAUGCGUGGUGUAGCGGUGAAAUGCAUAGAUAUCACGCAGAACACCGAUUGCGAAGGCAGCAUACCGGCGCGUAACUGACGCUCAUGCACGAAAGCGUGGGUAUCGAACAGGAUUAGAUACCCCUGUAGUC